GACGAACGCUGGCGGCGUGCUUAACACAUGCAAGUCGAACGAAGUGGCGAACGGGUGAGUAACGCGUAAUCAACCUGCCCUUCCGAGGGGGACAACAGUUGGAAACGACUGCUAAUCCCGCAUACUGAAGGAGGGGAUUGCGUCUGAUUAGCUAGUUGGGGGGGUCACGGCCCAACAAGGCGAUGAUCAGUAGCCGGGUGUGGGGGAUGAACGGCCAAAUUGGGACGGGGAAACGGGCCAGACUCCUACGGGAGGCAGCAGUGGGGAAUCUUCCGCAAUGGACGAAAGUCUGACGGAGCAACGCCGCGUGAGUGAUGACGGCCUUCGGGUUGUAAAGCUCUGUUAAUCGGGACGCGGUACCGGAAUAGAAAGCCACGGCUAACUACGUGCCAGCAGCCGCGGUAAUAC
rnacentral:rRNA from 1 species